rnacentral:rRNA from 1 species
UACGAAGGGUGCAAGCGUUACUCGGAAUUACUGGGCGUAAAGCGUGCGCAGGCGGUUCGUUGUGUCUGCUGUGAAAUCCCCGGGCUCAACCUGGGAAUGGCAGUGGAAACUGGCGAGCUUGAGUGUGGCAGAGGGGGGUGGAAUUCCGCGUGUAGCAGUGAAAUGCGUAGAGAUGCGGAGGAACACCGAUGGCGAAGGCAACCCCCUGGGCUGACACUGACGCUCAGGCACGAAAGCGUGGGGAGCAAACAGG